GCCUGGGUGGCUCAGUCGGUUGAGCGUCCGACUUCAGCUCGGGUCACGAUCUCACGGUCUGUGAGUUCGAGCCCCGCGUCGGGCU
rnacentral:tRNA from 1 species